rnacentral:rRNA from 1 species
GAUGAACGCUAGCUACAGGCUUAACAUAUGCAAGUCGAGGGGCAGCACUAGGUAGCAAUAUUGAGGUGGCGACCGGCGCACGGGUGCGUAACGCGUAUCCAACCUUCCCGAUACUCUUGGAUAGCCUUCCGAAAGGGAGAUUAAUACAAGAUGGUGUUUCAAUUCCGCAUGUUAUUGAAACUAAAGAUUUAUCGGUAUCGGAUGGGGAUGCGUGACAUUAGAUAGUAGGCGGGGUAACGGCCCACCUAGUCUACGAUGUCUAGGGGUUCUGAGAGGAAGGUCCCCCACACUGGAACUGAGACACGGUCCAGACUCCUACGGGAGGCAGCAGUGAGGAAUAUUGGUCAAUGGUCGGAAGACUGAACCAGCCAAGUAGCGUGAAGGAUGAAGGUUCUAUGGAUUGUAAACUUCUUUUAUACGGGAAUAAAACACCUUACGUGUAGGGUCUUGUAUGUACCGUAUGAAUAAGCAUCGGCUAACUCCGUGCCAGCCGCCGCAGUAACAC